UACGUAGGGUGCAAGCGUUAAUCGGAAUUACUGGGCGUAAAGCGUGCGCAGGCGGUUUUGUAAGUCUGAUGUGAAAUCCCCGGGCUCAACCUGGGAAUUGCGUUGGAGACUGCAAGGCUAGAAUCUGGCAGAGGGGGGUAGAAUUCCACGUGUAGCAGUGAAAUGCGUAGAGAUGUGGAGGAACACCGAUGGCGAAGGCAGCCCCCUGGGUCAAGAUUGACGCUCAUGCACGAAAGCGUGGGGAGCGAACAGG
rnacentral:rRNA from 1 species